CCUACGGGUGGCAGCAGUGGGGAAUAUUGCACAAUGGGGGAAACCCUGAUGCAGCGACGCCGCGUGAGUGAAGAAGUACUUCGUUAUGUAAAGCUCUAUCAGCAGGGAAGAAAAUGACGGUACCUGAGUAAGAAGCCCCGGCCAACUACGUGCCAGCAGCCGCGGGAAUACGGAGGGGGCAAGCGUUAUCCGGAUUUACUGGGUGUAACGGGAGCGUAGACGGCAGGGCAAGUCUGGUGGGAAAGGCGGGGGCUCAACCCCCGGACUGCUCUGGAAACUGUACGGCUGGAGUGCAGGAGAGGGAGGUAGAAUUCCUGGUGUAGCGGUGAAAUGCGUAGAUAUUAGGAGGAACACCGGUGGCGAAGGCGGCUUACUGGACUGUGACUGACGCUGAGGCUCGAAAGCGUGGGGAGCAAACAGGAUUAGAUACCCGAGUAGUC
rnacentral:rRNA from 1 species